rnacentral:misc_RNA from 1 species
GGCUUAUGGCCAAAGCGGACAAUACCUCUAGUGGUUGAAGCCUAACCAUUACAGAUUUGACCCGUGAAGCAUUGACCUGGAUGCCAUAACAUUUGCAGUGUCGAUUUUUCCAUCUACCAUGGGUGACAUAACCACCAAUGAAGCACUAAAGGAGGACUCCUACUGCUAGGAACAAUGGCAAACCAACCAAACCGAAGGCAAGUAGAGGUCUUG